GGGUCCCUGUGUCUGCUGCUGCUUUGGACAGAGAUUUGGCUAUUUACUGAAAACCAAGGUGUAAAGGGGCAGCACCAGCUCUGGGCUGUGUGUGAGAGCUGCCUGCAGGGUCAUGGCUGGGAUGGUCCAGCUGCUGCCCUCCAGCUCUGUGGUCUUACCCAGUCUGCAAAGGAGCUGGGGGAAGGUGGGGGAGCCUCAUGAUCUUCCCAAAGGGCUUUGGGCUCCCUUCACAGCAAGAGCCGUGCUGAGGCUGAGUGCUGUCAGCACUGCUGCUGCUGGGAAUGCUGCUUUGGCCCCUGGAUCAGCGGCUGUCUCGUUGUGCCUGUGCUACACGUAGUUUUGACUGGAGCUGGGAGCGGUUUCUCUGCUCUUUCAUAGUUUGCCUUCUCCUUUGCACGUCUCCAGCAGGAAGUGCAGAUUCAGCAGGCAUUGUAUGCCUCAGCAGCCUGCCAGCUGCCUUGCUGAAGCUAAUUCACAAUUCAAGUCACUCCUGAUAAGUUUGCAAACAAUGUGCAGUGAUUUCUGAGCUAGAUAGCAGCUGAGCCCAACUCCUCCACUUGAAGCUUGUCAGCUGGACAGAGCUCUGCACUCACCUAGGGAAGCUCAUGGGUCAAACGUGGCCCCGAUAUUUUGUGCAUCUGUGAUGUUUCAUAAACUUCUUAUUUGUUUAGGUGUAGCUUUGAGUGUCAUCAUUAUUAUUGAAACCCUUGAGUGUGUGGAGACACAAAAAGCUCGUAUGUUUAGUGUUGGUUGAACAUGAGUUAGAAAUUGAAUCCAGGACUUCUGACCUGCAGUUCAGUUCUUUGAUCACUGGAUAAUUUUGUUACCCCCUUUAUAACACACUGGAAUAGCCUGGGAAUUUCACUGGGAAUAACUCCAGUGAAAACAAGAGCGACAUUUUUUAUUUCAGCUAACUUCAUGUGGCAGCCACUGGAAGUGUGCUCUGAGGAAGUGGCCCAGAGGAAGAGACUUUGCACUCGUGGCUCAUCAGCCCUGGCAGGAAACAGGUCAAAGUUAGAAGGACUCAAAAGCUAAUGAGUGAGUGGUGCAGCAAGCAGUGCAAGAAAGCAAGGCUCCACAGUCAGCAGGGGAGCUUGGGCUUCUCUGUCUCUAUCCUUAUUCCACUUCCUCUCUUCUUGUUCACGUCCAUUUAACCAAAGAGAUGCCAAGGUGAUGAUCUGUCAGAUGAGAAUUUGUAGGUGAGACUGUGCCCUCUCCUCAUCUGAGCAAGCUCCCUCUGGAAAAUGAGGCUGGUGCAGAAAACACACUGUUUAAUCUUCCUCAGUAUGUUUUUAUGAAAUUAAAUUAAAUCCUCAUGACUCUAUAUCUCAGCUUGGCAGAUACUGGGUUUUUUUUUUUUCAGACAUGUGUAAAGUCAGUAGUCAAGAUGUAGCAGCCUAAAACUGCAGGGUUUGACCAUUCUGUGCAAAAAUUGGUACAAUACAGUGGCAGAAACAGGAAUAUGUUAUAUGACAGAUGAUAGCAGAGAUUUUUUCCCCUAGGUAGGCUUUGGGAAGCUCUCCUUGGUGCACCUUCCAAAGGGCACAAGGUCACAUCACAAAGCAGGCUUACCUUUUGGAGUGUAUUUGUCUCUGUGCCAUGAGUUGGGUCGGGCUUUUUUUACUCCUCCUUUAGUAUUGGAAUUGAAAAUUCAAUUUGGAGAAAUGUGAAAGCAAUUGGGCCUAAUCCAUUCCUGUUGUUACUCUUUUUGUUUUCACUGGAGCUACUCCAAGGCUGAAUUCAGCUUAUGAUGAACAACUUGUUCUCCAAAGCUGGAACUUAGGGGAGAAGGUUUUAGGGAUGAUCACGCAAUUCUGGGGCUCCCUCUCAAACAGCUGAAGCUCCCACAAGAGGGAUGAUAUUUGGUGAGUUCAGAUUAUUGAAUUUAGUACAGCAUUCUAGUAAUAAGCCCUCUAGUCAUAAUAAGACAUUAUUAUCCCUUAGAAGAAUUACUUGAAUAAAACCCAACUGCUUGCUUAGAUUAGAUGGAAAAAUCCUGUUGAUCUCAUUUACCAGUGAGCUGCACAGACACCAACCCAGAGCAAACACAAAUGGUUCUGAGCCUGGUAAUCCUCAUCCUGCUCCCUGUCCUCUCAUCCUCUCUGGGACCAGCCCCUCCAGGGCUGCUCCCUGUGAAAUGUUCACUGCUCUCUGUGCACUGACCAUCUCAUCUGCCGCCCAGAGAAGUCUCCAAAGAUGUUACAAGCCCUAAUUCUGUCUUGGUUAGAUAGAAAAAGGAGGGUGCUACAAGCUAUGGAGAAGCUGAAUGCUACUAGCUGAGGACUUGGUGCUGUUUAUUUGAGUUUGGGGUGGACAGGUUGUUUGUUUGUUGUUUUUUUUUUUUUCAGGAUCAAGGAUAUUGCUGUUAAGAACUAAGAUGAAACUCUUUACAAAUUUGCAAGAUGAACCAGUCCUCACUGCUGGUUAAUUCCUCCUGUGUUCCUGUGAGCUGCUGGAGGGGUCAUGGCAGAGGCAAGAUCCCCAUGAGCUCCAUAAAUGCUCUGUGUCCUAGAGAGGUUGUGACUGGUCUGGGGGCUGCUGGUCAGACCUGUCUGCAGAGGCCACUGGACCUGAGAGCAUCGAGGGGCACAUCAGGACCAGGCCCUGGCUGCCAGACCAGAAGGAUCCCUGGGGUUGCCUGAAUGUGAUCUCCCACCAGUGACCAUCGAAGGUCUUGGAGCCCUGCAAGUCCUCAUCAAAGACUGAGACUCCACUUCUCAUUGCCAAGCAGAUGGGGCUGUUGAUCAUGGUUUGAAAAGGCACUGUCAAAAGAUGGAGACACUAACAGGAAGAAUUCAAAGCUGUGAGAAAAGACUGAGAAAUAGUGAAUGUCCUUAAUUUUUUAAUAUCUCAUUAUUUUCAGACGUAAGAGUGUUGUGCCAGAUGCACCAAAUAGACACCUGGGACCCCGAUGUCACACAGAAAAGGUGCUGGGCUGUGAUUCCAGCGUUCCAGCCUUUUGCUGUGCAUCCCACCAUGUGUGCAUGUCUGGAAGCCUCUGUCAGCAACGGUGGGACAGCUCUGGAAUACACUGCUAAAAAACUUUCCUCUUGCAAUGAUAUCUUACUUCUUUUUCUAUUCCUCCUGUAACUGCCAGUGCAGCAGUGGAUCUGCUCCGACAGAAGGGAUUGUUCUCCACGUGUCUGUGAUGCCUCAGGUUUUAGCUUCUAUAUUUUUCAGAUUCUGUACUGCUUUCUGUACUGCUUCUGAGCUUCAUAUGAGGGGAUGGUAAGCUUUCUUCACAGAGUAGGUAGACAAAAAAAUUCCUUCUCUAACUUGGGACCAAGGACAACUGACCCAAGUUUCAGGCCCAAGAGCAUAAACAACAUGGACUGAAGAGAGAAAAACAAGAAUGGGACAAUUAACUCCAAUAUGGAAAUGGAGCAGAACUUAUAAAAGUGAGUGACCCCGUGAGCCAUCAUGCAUUUUGUGACCAUUUUGUUUCAUCUU